UCCCAUUUUGAUGUUUUAAUUAGGGAUUGUAAACUUUUGAAUAUAAAGCCGCCUUAAAAUCUAAAUACUACAGAAUCUCUUGAUGUCGCCAUUAAUAUUUCCCCUCGACCCCCUCAGUAUUUCACCGACGCGCGCCGUCCGGGUUUCUUGUUACCGAUUCAUCUUCUUAAUGUUAUGCAGGUUGAAAAGUGGUUUUGAAUCCGUAAUUAUUUAAGAAACAGAAAAGGAUGCGAAGGGAAAUGAUGCUUUUAUGUUUUGGAUGAUGAAGAUUACGUUUAGCAGAUGCCAAUGGAAUCUCAGGAGCCAUUAGAUUUGGUUCGCUGUUCGUUGUUCGUUGUUCGGCCGAUGAUCGCGCCAAAGCUCUGAUGGGUUUUCGGUCUAUUCCACUCGAGGUUCAUGCAAUGGCUACGGGAUCUGAACAUAUGCAGCUUGUGUUUCUGAUGCCAUGUAAGUCGAAAGCUCGCUUUGAACUACAGAGAGCUCGUUUUGAAGAUCUUCAAGUCUCUUAUGAAGAAUU